AUUCCCGCAUGUCCACAUCACAGAAUAGCAUUCCCUUCGAACACCACGGCAAGUAGUUGAUCGUCACAUCCUUGUGUGAAGGCAGGUGCACCAGAUUGUCUCCAUUGUCCCAGAAGCCUCCACUUUGCAGUAUGGAGCAGGAUGGGCAACCUAACUACACACGGCUGAUUGACAGCUCUCCACCAUCAGCUAAUAGACCAGGCGACAGAGUCUCUCUUCUAUUGACCAAACCAAAAAUGGUGUAGAACCAACCUGACCUCUUCGCUCACAGGCUCUCUCUCCUCUUCUUCUCUCUCAUGUUCUCAUAUUUUCUCUCCCACACUCUUUAAAUGUUCUCGUGGACAUGAGAGCUGCAGCCUGGUGCGAAUUCACACCAGUUGGUUGACCAAUCAGAGACUGGAUCAGCCAGCCACACCAUUGUCAUUUCCUGCUUCCUUCACAGUUCCACUCAUACACAUUCUGCUGCACAACUUUCUCUGGUUCAGGCUCCUCGUGAUUGAGGCUAAUGUAUCGUCUGUGUGGUUUAAAUGGGUCUUUUUGUUUCGGUGUACUGAAUUCUCUUUUGUAUUUUAACCUGGGCAGCAGACAAGUCAGUCUGGUGGCCUUGUGGGUUCACUUUAAAAAAAAUUAUUUACUCACUGUAUUUAUUUUUUAAUAUACAUUUUAAUAGCCCUCUGUAGCUGGUGAGGUUCCUUUCCAUGGUGAAGCUGGUGGUAUAGAGUGGAUGGACCACAAAGGGGCCAAAAAUCCCAGCAUACAUACAUCGCUCAUGGUAAAAUGAAUCCACAGCGUGGUUUUCACUCGUACACGUCCUCACAGUGGGACCCUGUGAACUUCACCUGUUUGUCUGCUAUAUUGAUCUCUUUAACUGUACAAUACUGCCGCCCCCAUUAUUGUCUUCUGUUUCUAAGCUGUGAAAUAACUGUAAAAUAAUCGUGUAAAUGUAUCCAUGCGAUUCU